GUUGAACGCUGGCGGCAGGCUUAACACAUGCAAGUCGAGCGGAGUGAUGGUGCUUGCACUAUCACUAAGCGGCGGACGGGUGAGUAAUGCUUAGGAAUCUGCCAUUUAGUGGGGGACAACAUUCCGAAAGGAAUGCUAAUACCGCAUACGUCCUACGGGAGAAAGCAGGGGAUCUUCGGACCUUGCGCUAAAUGAUGAGCCUAAGUCGGAUUAGCUAGUUGGUGGGGUAAAGGCCUACCAAGGCGACGAUCUGUAGCGGGUCUGAGAGGAUGAUCCGCCACACUGGGACUGAGACACGGCCCAGACUCCUACGGGAGGCAGCAGUGGGGAAUAUUGGACAAUGGGCGGAAGCCUGAUCCAGCCAUGCCGCGUGUGUGAAGAAGGCCUUUUGGUUGUAAAGCACUUUAAGCGAGGAGGAGGCUCUUCUAGUUAAUACCUAGGAUGAGUGGACGUUACUCGCAGAAUAAGCACCGGCUAACUCCGUGCCAGCCGCCGCAGUAACAC
rnacentral:rRNA from 1 species